rnacentral:tRNA from 1 species
GCGGGUGUGGUUCAAUGGUAGAACAUUAGCUUCCCAAGCUAAUAGCGGCGGUUCGAUUCCGCUCACCCGCUCCA